UACAGAGACCCCAAGCAUUAUCCGGAUUUAUUGGGCGUAAAGCGUUCGUAGGUGGUUUUGUAAGUCAUCUGUUAAAUCUUCAGGCUCAACCUGGAGGCAGCGGGUGAUACUGCAAGACUUGAGUAUGGGAGAGGUACAUGGAAUGACUGGUGUAGCGGUAAAAUGCGUUAAUAUCAGUUGGAACACCGAAGGCGAAAGCAAUGUACUGGAACAUUACUGACACUCAGUGAACGAAAGCGUGGGUAGCGAAAGGG
rnacentral:rRNA from 1 species